rnacentral:rRNA from 1 species
UACGUAGGGUGCAAGCGUUAAUCGGAAUUACUGGGCGUAAAGCGUGCGCAGGCGGUUGUGUAAGACAGAUGUGAAAUCCCCGGGCUCAACCUGGGAACUGCAUUUGUGACUGCACAGCUGGAGUGCGGCAGAGGGGGAUGGAAUUCCGCGUGUAGCAGUGAAAUGCGUAGAUAUGCGGAGGAACACCGAUGGCGAAGGCAAUCCCCUGGGCCUGCACUGACGCUCAUGCACGAAAGCGUGGGGAGCAAGCAGG